UUAAAUUGAAGAGUUUGAUCAUGGCUCAGAUUGAACGCUGGCGGCAGGCCUAACACAUGCAAGUCGGACGGUAGCACAGAGAGCUUGCUCUCGGGUGACGAGUGGCGGACGGGUGAGUAAUGUCUGGGGAUCUGCCCGAUAGAGGGGGAUAACCACUGGAAACGGUGGCUAAUA
rnacentral:rRNA from 1 species